rnacentral:rRNA from 1 species
GCGCGAAAACUGCACAAUGUGGGAAACCACGAUGCGGGAAACCCAAGUGCCAGCGCUAUGCGUUGGCUGUCCUCAAGUGUUCACAGCUUGGGAAGAAAGUGCUGGGUAAGACGGGUGCCAGCCGCCGCGGUAAUACCCGCAGCACAAGUGGUGGUCAUUAUUAUUGGGCCUAAAGCGUCCGUAGCUGGCCUGUUAGAUGCCUGGGUAAAUCGAUGUGCUUAACGCAUCGAAUUCCGGGUAGACCGGCAGGCUUGAGACCGGGAGAGGCGUGGGCUACUCGCGGGGUAGGGGUAAAAUCCUGUAAUCCUGCGGGGAGGACCAGUGGCGAAGGCGCCACGCUGGAACGGCUCUGACAGUGAGGGACGAAGCCCUGGGGCGCAAACCGG